UACACGCUGUGACUAGCAUAUCAAUAAGCGGAGGAAAAGAAACUAACAAGGAUUCCCCUAGUAACGGCGAGUGAAGCGGGAAGAGCUCAAAUUUGAAAUCUUAAAGGGUUUCCCUUUACGAAUUGUAGUUUAAAGAAGUGUUUUCUGUUGAGGUUUUGGUAAAAGUUCUUUGGAAUAGGACAUCAUAGAGGGUGAGAAUCCCGUAUUUGACCUUUACUUUCAACUUUGUGAUACACUUUCAAAGAGUCGGAUUGUUUGGGAAUGCAGUCCAAAAUGGGUGGUAAAUUUCAUCUAAAGCUAAAUAUUGGCGAGAGACCGAUAGCGAACAAGUACCGUGAGGGAAAGAUGAAAAGAACUUUGAAAAGAGAGUUAAACAGUACGUGAAAUUGUCAAAAGGGAAGCGUUUGACACCAGUGUUGUUUUUCUGAAAAUCAAUUAAAGAACUGUUUAUGCUAAGUUGUUUAGACUUUAUCAGCUAACUGUUUAGUUUUGAGCUUUUCUUUAAUGCACUUUUCAGUUAACAAGUCAACAUCAAUUUCUUUUGCUGUAAAAAAGCUUGAGGAAGGUGGCUUGAGAUUCGUCUUAAGUGUUUAUAGCCUCUUGCCUAUGCAGUCGGAGAGAUUGAGGUCUGCAGCGUAGAUCCUUCGGGGCUAAAUGCAUUUGUGCUAAGUUAUAACAUUUUAUAGACAACUUGUUGACUAUGAUUUGUCUUGUAGCUUACUCGCUUAUGUUAUUUUACCUACGCUUAGGAUGUUGACGCGCGUGUGUGCGUG
rnacentral:rRNA from 1 species